rnacentral:lncRNA from 1 species
AUGUACAAAUAUGGAAAAUAUGCAUAAUAAUUUAUACAAUAUAAUUGAUAUUUUAUAUAACCCUUAUAAAACUUUUAUACAAACGAAUCUACAAAUUUUAAAAAAAAAUUAUAUUUCUUAUUAUGAAUUUUCACAAAUACUGUAUAUUUUUAUUUUCAAAUUAAAACAGUUUCAAAACAAUGAAAAAGUGAACAAUGAUGUUAAACAAAUUAUAAUAGACUGUUUGACAUUGUCGGGAGCAUAUAAUAAGCAUUUGAAUUAUGCCAUUUGUGUGGGACUAGAUAAUAAAGAAGAGGGGUUAACAGACAUACACCGAUCAGACACACUUUGUAAUAAUAUUACUAGUAUAAACACUCCAACCGUAAAUGAAAAGGAAGAAGUAGAAGAAAAUGUAGGAGAAAAUGUAGAAGAAAAUGUAGGAGAAAAUGUAGGAGAAAAUGUAGAAGAAAAUGUAGAAGAAAAUGUAGAAGAAAAUGUUGGAGAAAAAGUAGGAGACAAAGCAGAAAAAAAUAUUGAAGAAAAUGUUGAAAAAAAUGUAGAAAACAAUGUUAAGGAAAAACUAGGAGAAACAACAGAAUGCCAAAACAAUAUGCAACAAAAAAGAGUAGAUUCAAUUUCAAAUAAGGACAGGCAGAAUAAAGGUAACAGUAAAUCGGAUUAUAAAAACGGAUUUACAUAUACAAAACAUAUGACCGAAUUAGAUAAUAAAAACGAAAAGAAUAAACUAAGUAACAGUACAACCAUCAAUCCAAAAUUGAGUGGUGUGAUAGAUACACCUGCAAAUGGCGAAAAUGCAAAAAGUCACAACAUCGAAAAAUACAAUUGUAAAAUAUUAAAUUAUACCGAAAAAAUACAAAAAAAGAUUGAAAAUGAAUUUAUUACAAUAUGGCAACAAGAUGUUGUUUCUCACUAUUUAAAUAAAUUAAAUAAAAAUGAUGAUUCUGAUAAUUCAUAUAAUACCAUAAUGUGCAUAAAAAAAAUAUUUAAUGCAUUAAGUAGAUUAUACUCCAUAUAUAAAAAUAAAUCAUUUGUUCUGACAAACAAUAAUAAACAAUUUUUUGAAAAUGUAUUUGAUGUAACUAUAAACCAAUUAAUAAAUAAUACACUUAAACAUUAUAAUAAAAAUAAAGAAAAUGAUUAUAUAGUUAUUAUUAAUAGUUUUGUAUUUAUACAAGAAGAAAUUAUAAAAAUUGAAGGAACAAAGAAAUAUUAUGAACUAUUAACUAUUGUU